GUGAUUGACGCCUUCAAGAUGGCGGUGUUUGAGAAGAAGAAGGAGAGUAAACUGAAUUUAGAUGACACGCAAUGUUUAACAUGCACUAUCGAAGCAGCUGAAAAUGUACAAGACUUUACGAUUUAUAUUAUUCGAGUGCAGCGAGGUCCUUUUGUAGAUAAUUCAUGGCAAAUAUCUCGUCGAUACAGUGACUUUGAUGCACUAAAUAAUAUGCUGCAAAUAUCGGGAGUUGAAUUACCUCUCCCUCCAAAAAGAGUAUUUGGAAAACUGGGCAGAGAAUUUGUAGCUGAAAGGCAGCAAGGAUUACAACAAUAUAUGAAUACAAUUUUAUCACAUCCAAUGCUAGCUUUAUCAUUACCAGUUAAAAGAUUUUUAGACCCAGAAAAUUAUUCACAGAACUUCUUAGAGAUAGCUCUUCAACAUGUUUCAAUGGUUUUUCGAUCAGAAUUGAGAUGGGAAAUAGUUGAACCUUUUCCAGAUAUAGGAUGGCGAUUAAGGAAAGAAUAUUUUCUUAUUAAACCUAAAGCUGAUGCAAAACAAAGGUUACUGUUAUCUUGGCAACCCUUUGGAAUAGAUAAAAAUCUUGAAGAUAGAGACUUACAAAGUAUUAUGAAGCUUUUAAAUACAAUUCAGCAUCCUCAUAUAUGCCCUGUGAUAUUUGCUUGCAUAAGUGAAAAUGGUGGUCUAGUCAUUCGCAAUUAUCAACAGAAUGGUAGUUUGCGUGACAUGUUAUGUAAAACAAAACCAAAAGGUGUAUUUUUGAAGAAGUAUGCUAAGCCAAAAACUUGUUCACCUCUUCCUCCUAAAUUAAUUCAAGUUUAUGGUCGACAAGUUUUGUUAGCACUGAAAUUUCUUCAUGAAAAAGGCAUUCCUCAUGGCCAUCUACAUGCUGGAAAUGUAUUUAUUGAAGGUAAUACCUGUCAAAUCUCAGAAAUAGAAAAUCAGCUUUUAGGACAACCUGCUUAUCUGCGUCCUUUAUUUGUGCAACUUCGUAAAGUACAAACAUUAGAAGUUAUUGAUGUAUACUCCUUUGGUCAUCUAUUGUAUGAAAUGACAUUUGGAAUUCCAUGUUUUACACCAACUUGUGAUAACUUUCCAUCAUCUUGUCCAGCAGAACUUAGAUCUGUAUUAGAAGCAAUACUUACAAAAGAAGCAUGUAAAAAUGGACUUCCUUCUGUUAUGAAUCUUUUAUCUCAUCCAUUCUUUUCAAUUGCAACAAAUGUUGAGAAGGGACAUUUAAAAAUAUCAUCACAAUUAAAAGAUAGUAUAAAGCUAUCUAUUGAACAAAUGCAUCAACAAUUAAAAGAAGAGCAACGUGUGAUUAGGCAUAGUCAACGACUUUCGAAAGUACAUGCACAGUUGAAUUCAGAAGAAAAUAAGAAAAAACGACAAGAUGAGAGGCGAAAGCAGCAAAAAUUACAAUUAGGUGUGUCUGCAACACAAAAUGGCCCAUCACCAAGUCCUACUACUCCUGGAUCCACAUCAUGAUGUUUGUGGCACAUCAAAAUUCUUCAUUUCCAAUGUGUGUUCAUCCAGGACUUCACACCCAUUUCUAGUCAUUUCCGAAAAGUGCUUCGUCGCCGGCCUUAUCUUCUAUGGUAGUUGGAAAUGCAGUAUCACAACCGCCGCCGCCGCCACCACCACCACCACUCAUUCCAUCGUCAUCGCUGUUCUCACUUUCUACG
rnacentral:misc_RNA from 1 species